rnacentral:rRNA from 1 species
AAACCAACAGGGAUGCCCUUAGUAACGGCGAGUGAAGCGGCAAGAGCUCAAAUUUGAAAUCUGGCACCUUUGGUGUCCGAGUUGUAAUUUGAAGAUUGUAUUUCGGAAGACUUCUCGCAUAAGUUCCUUGGAAUAGGACGUCAUAGAGGGUGAGAAUCCCGUAUGGUGUGAAUCCUCUUCCUACUGUAAAAUACUUUCGAAGAGUCGAGUUGUUUGGGAAUGCAGCUCUAAGUGGGUGGUAAAUUCCAUCUAAAGCUAAAUAUUGGCGAGAGACCGAUAGCGAACAAGUACAGUGAUGGAAAGAUGAAAAGAACUUUGAAAAGAGAGUGAAAAAGUACGUGAAAUUGUUGAAAAGGAAGGGCUUGAGAUCAGACUUGGCGUAUUGUGAUCAGCUUCCUCUCGGGGUUGUGCACUCGCAGUACGCUGGGCCAGUAUCGAUUUCGGCGGUGAGAUAAUGGCAUUGGAAUGUGGCUC